AUAAUCCCGUCUACUACUUCUCUGAAUUUGGAUUCAGACUCAUCUAUUAACUCAUCACAAAACUCGUAAUACAGCACCAGUUUUGGAAGCUCGCUCCAAAUGUAUCUCCAGCUUUUGGACAAUGUACAAGUUUUUGCAGCUUCUUUAAUAGGCAAGAGCUCAAGGAUACAAUCAAUAACAUUUCUUGGUAGGACACUAAUUCUAUCUUCUAUGUCCCCCUCAACCGCAACGCUUACUCCAUCUUGAUUCAUGUUUGAUUUUCUUUUUCUGAUUUGAUUUUUUUCCCACCUUACUAGCAAUAGUGCAUAAUUUGUGCAAAGAGGUGUCUUGCUCUCAGCGAAGACUGCCGGCGACGGCGAAGAGCAGAACCGGAGUGAAAU
rnacentral:misc_RNA from 1 species